UACGUAGGGGGCAAGCGUUGUCCGGAUUUACUGGGUGUAAAGGGUGCUCAGGUGGCUUGGAAAGUCAGUGGUGAAAUCUGAGAGCUUAACUCUCAAACUGCCAUUGAUACUUCUUAGCUUGAGUACGGAAGAGGCUGAUGGAAUUUCAGGUGUAGCAGUGAAAUGCGUAGAUAUCUGAAAGAACACCAGUGGCGAAGGCGGUCAGCUGGUCCGUUACUGACACUAAAGCACAAAAGCGUGGGUAGCAAACAGG
rnacentral:rRNA from 1 species